GAAACGGAAACUAAAACCGGAUAGGUAAUAGAGAAGCAUUUCUGUAUUAUUAAAGAAGCCUCAAAGCUUUGAACAUGGAUGCACCUGCGGUGCAUUAGCUAGUUGGUAAGGUAACGGCCUACCAAGGCGACGAUGCAUAGCCGACCUGAGAGGGCGAACGGCCACAUUGGGACUGAGACACGGCCCAAACUCCUACGGGAGGCAGCAGUAGGGAAUUUUCGUCAAUGGGGGGAACCCUGAACGAGCAAUGCCGCGUGAGUGAAGACGGUCUUCGGAUUGUAAAGCUCUGUUGUGAGAGAAAAAGGAUAUAUAUAGGAAAUGAUAUGUAUUUGAUGGUAUCUCACCAGAAAGUCACGGCUAACUACGUGCCAGCAGCCGCGGUAAUACGUAGGUGGCGAGCGUUAUCCGGAAUGAUUGGGCGUAAAGGGUACGUAGGCGGCAUGAUAAGUCUGGAGUGAAAGGCUACAGCUCAACUGUAGUAUGCUCUGGAAACUGUCAAGCUAGAGUGCAGAAGAGGGCAAUGGAACUCCAUGUGUAGCGGUAAAAUGCGUAGAUAUAUGGAAGAACACCGGUGGCGAAGGCGGUUGCCUGGUCUGAAACUGACGCUGAAGUACGAAAGCGUGGGGAGCAAAUAGGAUUAGAUACCCUAGUAGUCCACGCCGUAAAAGAUGAGAACUAGGUGUUGGGGGAAUAACUCAGUGCC
rnacentral:rRNA from 1 species